CGGUUUGAAACAUCGCCUUUUCCUUCAUGGUUUUUGCUCUGUGCGUGCGUGUGCUGCUCUCCCGGAGUUACUUAAUCCAGCGGCUGGAGCACUUUAGUGAAGAACUGGCAUGCACUUGCGAUGGCUUUUUGGUGUGGAGUGGAGGGGACUACGAGCAGCGGAGGAGGAGGCUGCCUGCUUGCUUUUCUUUUUUUUUUUUUUCCUUCCCCACCCUUCCGAGAUAUAUUUUCCCUUUUGCCAAAAAAAAAAUAAUAAUAAUAAAGCAAGCAAAAUAAAGCAAGCCCUGCCGGAGGGGAGGUAGGAGCUUGCAGAAGAGGGGUGCAGCCGGGCUCAGUCCCCUCCCAGCUGCAGCUUUUGCCCUGGGGAGCCGCCGGGGGGAGCGGGAGGGAGCCGCCCGCCCGCCCCCGCCCCGGCCAUCCUCGGCCACCGCCCCGGGCCCGGGAGGUCCCGGCGAGCCGAGGCCACCCCAGGAGACCGUUUGCAAAUUGGGGGGCUGGCUAGUAAAUAAAAGAGAGAGAUGGAGAAGGGCGGUGGGGUGAUGGUCCCUUGCCUUGGCCGUGCCCGACUCGUUGCUCUCCCGGGGGGGGAUGUACACGUUUUUCUUUUUUUUUUUUUUUCUUUUUUUUUUUUUCUUCAAACAGAAUCAGAGGAAAGGGAGGGGGGGAGAGGAGCCGCCUCUCCCGGCGUUAACUGUUCACCGCCUAGAGCCUGCGCGGCCCCUGACAGGCCACGGCUGCUGCAGGGAGGGUGGGGAUGAGGAAUCCCACCGGCGGGGGUCAGCAGGGGAUGCGCGCCGCCGUUUCCAUGGCAGUCCCCCAUCCCCGCCGCCCCCUGCCCGCCAGGAGCCCCCGGGAAAUGCCCAGCUUAGUCCUGGGGGGCGCCCCCAGUGUGGGGUACGGGGUGCAGGGUGCCUCCCUCCAUGCAGCUGGAGCUCGGCCCCACCGUGGGGAAAUGAACGCCUGUGCCUACAGCCAGCCCCCGGGCAUCCCUUUGCGCCCUUCCAGCAGCAUCCCCACUUCUCCUGUGUUUUUUUGUUUGUUUGUUUGUUUUUGUUUUUGUUUUUUUUUCACCGUUGUGAGCCCGGGGAACCUCUCUACCCCCAGCCAAGCCGCUCCUCCAGCGGCCGUUGGAAGAUGCUCCUCUCCAGCUGCCCUUGCAGGUACUUUGAAAAGGCAAAAAGCAUCAAAGUCCCCUUCACUCAAGUGUUCACUCCUGACAGUGAUUCCAGCCAAAUGGGAAAGAUAUCAAAACCACAAGUAGAAUCUCACAUAUAUUGCCAGGAAAAUGCCAAGCUUUAG
rnacentral:lncRNA from 1 species